ACGAAUGGGAUAAUAAUUGAAAUUAGGAGGCGGCGGGGAGGCUAAUACACCGACAAGUCCGACGAGCUGGCAAUUAAAUCCUGACGUAUCGCUAUCGCGGUCUCCGCCUUAAGCCAAUUUUCCAAUGAUGGAAUGCGAUUCUUCCGUCGGCGCGUCGCUUUGUUAACCCUGCCUACCCACUAAAUUGCCGUCAGCAAUCACGUGACUCUUGAAUCGUAUAUCUUCCUCUUCGUUGGUGAUUCUAGGCAGUGCGACAACAGGCGGACGAAGAAAUUCGUGGCCGAAAAGUUUGAAAGAUAUGGCGAAAAGUUGUUUCGAACGGGUUAACAACGUUGGAAAAUAUCGAGCGAGUUCGUUCUUUCAAUUAGCCGCUGUUUCUGUCAUCGGCUGUGUUGCGCGCCAUUCGUCGUUUCUACUAUCGAGAGGUAAAAGUGUCGUUACGAGAGGCGGUACGAUACAGAGCUCGAGGACGAUCUACGAGGAUGAACGAUCCCGUUGAUACACAAACGAUUCCUUAGACACGCGACAACGUAUCUCGCCUCCGCAACGUCUCGUGACCUACUCCUCGACUAGCUUCGCGGGCAUCAGCCUCUUGGGAGUUUUGCUACCGAUUACAGAACGUGCCCCUCCACGCUCUCUCAAGAUCAUCCUGUCACUUUGUCCACGGAACGUGAAUCGCAAUACCAAAGGAAUUCGACGCUCCGGCCGUUACUACGAGGAUGAACCUGUACGAGACGCGUUUGCAGCCGUACUUUUCUUAACGUCUUCAUCCUGAAUCGUGUCACCGACGGAGGGUACCAUCCUGCGAGGUCAAAGCUCGAAGCGUGGAUCGACGAACAGGGUGGAGGCGCGAUAAACAUAAAGAA